rnacentral:rRNA from 1 species
UACGUAGGGGGCUAGCGUUGUCCGGAAUCAUUGGGCGUAAAGCGCGCGUAGGCGGCCAGAUAAGUCCGGUGUGAAAGUCACAGGCUCAACCUGUGAAUGCCGCUGGAAACUGUCUGGCUAGAGUCCGGAAGAGGAGAGUGGAAUUCCUGGUGUAGCGGUGAAAUGCGCAGAUAUCAGGAGGAACACCGGUGGCGAAGGCGGGUCUCUGGGCAGUAACUGACGCUGAGGAGCGAAAGCGUGGGGAGCGAACAGG